rnacentral:rRNA from 1 species
AACGAACGCUGGCGGCAGGCCUAACACAUGCAAGUCGAACGUGAAGCCACCUUCGGGUGGUGGAAAGUGGCAGACGGGUGAGUAACGCGUGGGAACGUACCUUUCGGUUCGGGAUAACCCAGGGAAACUUGGGCUAAUACCGGAUACGCCCUCCGGGGGAAAGAUUCAUUGCCGAAAGAUCGGCCCGCGUCGGAUUAGCUAGUUGGUGGGGUAAAAGCCUACCAAGGCGACGAUCCGUAGCUGGUCUGGGAGGAUGACCAGCCACACUGGGACUGAGACACGGCCCAGACUCCUACGGGAGGCAGCAGUGGGGAAUAUUGGACAAUGGGCGCAAGCCUGAUCCAGCCAUGCCGCGUGGGUGAAGAAGGCCCUAGGGUUGUAAACCCCUUUCAGCGGGGAAGAUAAUGACGGUACCCGCAGAAGAAGCCCCGGCUAACUCCGUGCCAGCAGCCGCGGUAAUACGGAGGGGGCUAGCGUUGUUCGGAAUUACUGGGCGUAAAGCGCGCGUAGGCGGACCUGCAAGUCG